rnacentral:rRNA from 1 species
CAAUAGCGUAUAUUAAAGUUGUUGCAGUUAAAAAGCUCGUAGUUGAAACUUGGGCCUGGCUGGCGGGUCCGCCUCACCGCGUGCACUCGUCCGGUCGGGCCUUCCUUCUGAAGAACCUCAUGCCCUUCACUGGGCGUGCUGGGGAAUCAGGACUUUUACUUUGAAAAAAUUAGAGUGUUCAAAGCAGGCCUUUGCUCGAAUACGUUAGCAUGGAAUAAUAAAAUAGGGCGUGCGUUUCUAUUUUGUUGGUUUCUAGAGACGCCGCAAUGAUUAACAGGAACAGUCGGGGGCAUCAGUAUUCAGUUGUCAGAGGUGAAAUUCUUGGAUUUACUGAAGACUAACUACUGCGAANGNAUUUGCNAAGGAUGUUUNCAUUA